GACGAACGCUGGCGGCGUGCCUAAUACAUGCAAGUUGAGCGAUUAAGAUUGGUUCUUGCCCCGAUUUGAAGAGCAGCGAACGGGUGAUUAACGCGUGGGUAAUCUGCCUUUGAGCGUGGGACCACAUUUGGAAACGAAUUCUAAUACCGCAUAACAACUUUAAACAUAAGUUUUAAGUUUGAAAGAUGCAAUUGCUUCACUCAAAGCUGAUCCCGCGUUUUAUUAGCUAGUUGGUGAGGUAAAGGCUCACCAAGGCGAUGAUACAUAGACUACCUGAGAGGGUGGUCGGCCACAUUGGGAAGGGGAAAAGGCCCAAAAUCCUAAGGGAGGGAGCAAGAGGGAAAUAUCGGAAAAGGAGGAAAGGCUGAACGAGGAAAGCCGGGGGAGGGAAGAAGGGUGUCGGAACGGAAAAGUAUGUUAGUAGAGAAGAAAGGUGGUGAGAGUGGAAAGCUGAUGAAGUGACGGUAACUACAGAGAAAGGGACGGCUAACUACGUG
rnacentral:rRNA from 1 species